AGUCAUGUUGAAGGUGGAGCUGGAGUCUAGUAGAAUAUUUCACUCUGUGUUGAUGGAGGGGCUACGGCGUAAAUGCAUGGAGAGUCGAAGCCUAUUUCAACGGAUAGCGAGAGACACGUGGAUCGGACUGGGUACCAGUAGUCUGAAGACAUGAUACUCGGCACCGGUCGGUGAUGAUCGGUGGUACUCUGCAGUGGGGACUGAGUGGUGUGGGUUCGCGACCCUUGAGACUCGACCGGGACAGCGGAGGCUCGACGCGGUAAUAGCGGCGAGGCGUGCGGUAC
rnacentral:lncRNA from 1 species